AUUGAACGCUGGCGGCAUGCCUUACACAUGCAAGUCGAACGGCAGCACGGGAGCAAUCCUGGUGGCGAGUGGCGAACGGGUGAGUAAUGUAUCGGAACGUGCCCAGUCGGGGGGGAUAACGUAGCGAAAGCUACGCUAAUACCGCAUACGAUCUAUGGAUGAAAGCGGGGGAUCGCAAGACCUCGCGCGAAUGGAGCGGCCGAUAUCAGAUUAGGUAGUUGGUGGGGUAAAGGCCCACCAAGCCUGCGAUCUGUAGCUGGUCUGAGAGGACGACCAGCCACACUGGAACUGAGACACGGUCCAGACUCCUACGGGAGGCAGCAGUGGGGAAUUUUGGACAAUGGGCGCAAGCCUGAUCCAGCAAUGCCGCGUGCAGGAUGAAGGCCUUCGGGUUGUAAACUGCUUUUGUACAGAACGAAAAGGUUUCUACUAAUACUAGGAGCUCAUGACGGUACUGUAAGAAUAAGCACCGGCUAACUACGUGCCAGCCGCCGCAGUAA
rnacentral:rRNA from 1 species